rnacentral:lncRNA from 1 species
ACUACACCGAGUUAAAAGAGGACUGCAAGCUCAAAAGCCUCAUGUAAGAAAAAAAAAAUACAAAAAACUCAUUAUCAACUUCAUUCUCCAGAAAAGACACAUCUUAGUAAAAGACAAAAAUACUAGCAAAGAAAGGAAAGGGUAGGUAAUAAAAUAAACACUCCCAGAUAAUUGUAGUCCACAUCCUCGUUAAAUUGGAAGGAUCCUAGAAAAAAGUUUAAUGUCAGACACUAGUCAUUCUCCAGAAAAGACACAUCUUAGUAAAAGACAAAAAUACUAGCAAAGAAAGGAAAGGGUAGGUAAUGAAAUAAACACUCCCAGAUAAUUGUAGUCCACAUCCUUGUUAAAUUGGAAGGAUCCUAGAAAAAAAUUAAAUGUCAGACACUAGUUAUAUUUUAGUGAAUAUAAGAACUUACUAGAAUGAAAAGGCAAAGUUUAACAAAAACUCGUUUUGAUCUAAAAUGGAAAGGCAUCUUAAGAAACUCUUUAUGUAAUCUUGUUGAAAACACUAUCAGCCAGAAAGUAUCUGCACAAAAUAAAAGAAAAUUAAGCAAGCAGAAGAAUGGUCAGAAGUUAAUGGGGAAAUAAGAGAGAUAAAAAACAGCACUAUUGGUGAAGUUGAUUUGAAGUUGGUAGAAAGUAACAAGAAGCCAAUGCAAAAAGCACAAGCAAACUACACCAAAUUUCCUCAAAACAGUUGAUGAUAGAUUAGGGGGAGAAGACACGAUUAAUAUCAAAAGCUAGUUAUUUAACCCAUAUAAACUAUAUAAGACUUGGAAAAGGAAUUAAAGAUGAAUUUAGUCUCCAGUCGAAGUUUCAAAAGCACCAUUUAAGCGCUCUCAUCGCACGGAGUCGAUGACCCUGAAAACAAAACUUGUACGCUGUUCUUGAAAACAUCCUUGCCUACAAACCACUACACCGAGUUAAAAGGGGACUGCAAGCUCCAAAGCUUCAUGUAAGGAAAAAAAACUCAUUAUCAACUUCAUUCUCCAGAAACGACACAACUAGCAAGACAAAAAUACCAGAACAUAAAGGAAAGGGUAGGUAAUGAAAUAAACACUCCCAGAUAACUGCAGUCCACAUCCUUGAUAAAUUGGAGGGAUCCUAGAAAAAAGUUUGCAAGUAAAGGUCAGACUCUAGUUAUAUUUUAAUAAAUAUAAGAACUUGUUGACUAGAAUGAAAAGGCAACGUUUAACAAAAACUUGUUUUGAUCUAAAAUGGAAAGGCAUCUUAAGAAACUGUGUAAUCUUGUUGGAAACACUAUCAGCCAGAAUGUAUCUGCACAAAAUAAAAGAAAAUUAAGCAGGCAGAAGAAUGGUCAGAAGUUAAUGGGGAAAUAAGAGAGAUAAAAAACAGCACUAUUGGUGAAGUUGAUUUGAAGUUGGUAGAAAGUAACAAGAAGCCACUGCAAAAAGCACAAGCAAACUACACCAAGUUUCCUCAAAACAGUUGAUGAUAGAUUAGGGGAAGAAGACAUGAUUAAUAUCAAAAGCUAGUUAUUUAACCCAUAUAAACUAUAUAAGACUUGGAAAAGGAAUUAAAGAUGAAUUUAGUCUCCAGUCGAAGUUUCAAAAGCACCAUAUAUGCCUCCAUGAACCUGAAAACCAAAAGCUUACAAAUAAGCACACUCUAGUAUGUCCCAGUGCCACGCAGAAAAAUACAAAAAGCAUUAAAUUGAAGGGUAAUCCUAGUGUUAUAUGUUCCUUUCAAACUGAACAAAUCCUUAAGAAAAUGCAAACAAAAAGCAGACACAAAUUUAACGAUUGAAAUGAGAAAACAAAGGAAAAGGCACUUGAUCCAUCACUGUUGAAAACUGAUAAUGAAAACAAUAGGAAAGAAAAAUGGAUCCUCUUGGUGGAGCUUAGCUUGGAGCUGGAAUUAUAAUUCCUUGUUUACUUUCAAACCAUUGCCUAAAUGCUUGAUGGCAUCCUAAAAGAACACAAAAUUAAAACUCAAAGCCUAGCUCCUUUUAAACAAGUACAAAUUUUAUUAAAAGAUACAAAGGCAGAGACAAAGAAUCACUUAUGAGCACUCCAAAGUUUGAAGCAUCACGUAUAAAAGACGUUCAUAGUUCCAACUUCAUGCACCUGGAAAGACAGGAAGUUGGAAUCUUAAAUCAUACAUAAAGGAAAAAAAAUGUAAGCAGAGAAAGGAAAAGAUGUAGGCUAUGAAUCCGGAUCUAAUUGUCAUCCAAAUAUGGUUCUUGAUACAUUUUGGAAGGAUCCUACACAAACAUGCAACUGAAGGUAAAAUUCUAGUUACACAAGUAAUCUGGAACUGUAGCUCUAUUAAACAGAUGGAAGCAUUUAAAACAGCAAAGCAGAAACUUAGUUCACUGCAAGUUCAUGAGCAUCAAGCAAAAGACUCAAUUGUUCACUGGAAUAACACAAACAAAAACUUACUACAGUACAAUAAAGCACGUACACCACUCCCUGACUUAAACUCGAGUUCAUAUGCAUUCCUUGACAACAAGAAGGAUACUGGAAAAAUAAACAACAGUAAUAUUUUGUAGAGUCAAGAAAAACGGUGGAUUGAAAUGUAAAAUAAUAUUACAAGACACUAGAUGCAUUUUUCUCAGAAAACUCCAUCUAGAUGUCUGCCCAAAAUGGAAUUAAAGUAAUGAACAUAAGAAAAUGUUGAGAGAGAGAUUCCAAAGCAAGGCAAAAAAAGAAUUUAUAAGAAAAACAAGGUAAAGCAAGAUGGCUCCUACUGAUAAAGCUUAGACCCAGUAACAAAAACCAUUGCCUUGAGCAGACAGCACCGAGUUGCCCAUUCCCUAGAAUGCUUGCUACGAUCCUAAAAGAAUUAAAGAAGAAAUUGUAUACACAAAUACAGAUUUAAAAUAGAAGUGCAAGUUGCAAAGAAUCACCAUUGUCCAACUAUAAGCUUCUAGAAAAAAAAAUCAAUCAGAAUGUUCGUCUGAACACUCAAAUUUAAUGCAAGGCAGAGGAAAGAGUACUCUGAAAUAAACACCUCCAAGCAAUCAUAAUCCAUAUAUGUUCCUUGAUAACUUGGAGGGAUCCUGGAAAAACAUGCAAGCAAACAUCGGACACAAGUUAUAUUUUAGUAUAAAUUAAAACUUGUUGACUAGAAUGAAAAAAACAAAGUUAAGAAACACUAAUUUUGAAAUAAAUGAAAGGGAAAGGUUAGGAAACACUUGGUGCUAUCUUAUUGAAAAUAUUAUCUAGAAAAAUCUGCAAAAAAUAAAACAAAAAUAAGCAAGCAUACCUACUGUUGACACAGUUGUCAGAAGUUGAAAGUGAUAUGGAGAGAAAUGAGCAAAGAAAACAGCCCCAUUGCAAGUAAAAUUUGAAGCAGCUCGGAGGUAACAAAAAAACCACUGCAAAAAUCUCAAGCUCUUGGAAGAACACACAAUACCCAAAUGCUACCUAUUUAACCAGUGUAGAUUAUACAGGACUCAGAGGAACUUAGUCUCCAAUGCAAGUUUCAAAAGCUUCAUAGCAUAACUCUCAUUGCACGAAGUCCAUGACUGAAUGGAUCCAGGAAAAACAUGCAAAGAAAAAAGCCAAGACAAAAGUAUUGAUUGAAAUGAGAGAAGAAAGUUGAAGACACCUGAUCUAUUACUGUUGAAAAGUUAUUGGUUCAAUCAAUGUCAAGUUAGUUCCAGAACUUUGCCAGCCAAACAUUCAUUACAGCAAGCCACACUUUGUUUUCCAUUACAAAACAAAUGGGGUCCUAGGAAACCUCAAACAAACAGAAUCUAAAACAAAUGGUGAAAAAUAAGAAUGUUGACUGCAAUACCAAAAUAAAGUUAAGAGACACCGUGCCCUCCUGAAAGCAACAUGAUCAGUACAAAUGCACAGAGUAUAACAGCAUUCAGCCAAGAAUAGCUUUAUUUAAUUCAGAACAGUGCAAUCUGAAGAGAAAGAAAGGAAAUCAAACCAGCUAGGCUAGAAUUUCUCCCAUGGCAAGCACUCCAAUCACUGUCAAGUAGGGUCCAAAAAGAAUCUGACUUGUAUGAGAAUAGCAGAAUAUUCUUUCCAAAAUAAAUCUGACUCGUAUGUUUUCUCAAAUUGACAGCUUGAUUAGCCUCCUACCAUUAAUUCCCUGUUAGUCAGGGAUUCUCUUGAAACAUCCAAUGCCACUGAGCGAAACUAGGACAAAAAAAUUGAUGAAAGCAUAUGAAAAACCGGGUAAGGAAGAUCAAGGACACAAAACUUGUCAAAACUGUUAUACCAUUCUCUAUCACAAAAACACAUGGCAGAAACUUCUCCACGGCAAGAUUCCAAUAGAAAAUAUAUAUCCAAUUAAUUUCAAUCCUGGAAGUAGUAGAAUCAAAAGCAAAUUAAACAAAACAGCCUCACGAUGAUCCAAACUCCAUUCAUAAGCAAAAUGAACCAAAAAUAUUCAUCAUCACUAAAAAAAACUUCAUAGUUCAAGAAACCCUAAAUUUCCUUCAUCACUGAAACCAUGGUCUUCAC